rnacentral:rRNA from 1 species
UACAGAGGGGGCAAGCGUUGUCCGGAAUUACUGGGCGUACAGCGCGCGCAGGCGGAGCGCCACGUGCCGUGUGACAAGCCACUGCUCAACAGUGGAGGGCCAGGGUACACGAGCGCUCUGGAGGCAGGGAGAGGGAUGUGGAAUGCCCGGUGGAGCGGUGAAAUGCGUAGAGAUCGGGCGGAACACCAGCGGCGAAGGCGGCAUCCUGGUCCUGUUCUGACGCUGAGGCGCGAGAGCGUGGGGAGCAAACUGG